AGUGAACGCUGGCGGUAGGCCUAACACAUGCAAGUCGAACGGCAGCACAGUAAGAGCUUGCUCUUACGGGUGGCGAGUGGCGGACGGGUGAGGAAUACAUCGGAAUCUACUUUUUCGUGGGGGAUAACGUAGGGAAACUUACGCUAAUACCGCAUACGACCUACGGGUGAAAGCAGGGGAUCUUCGGACCUUGCGCGAUUGAAUGAGCCGAUGUCGGAUUAGCUAGUUGGCGGGGUAAAGGCCCACCAAGGCGACGAUCCGUAGCUGGUCUGAGAGGAUGAUCAGCCACACUGGAACUGAGACACGGUCCAGACUCCUAAGGGAGACAGCAGUGGGGAAUAUUGGACAAUGGGCGCAAGCCUGAUCCAGCCAUACCGCGUGGGUGAAGAAGGCCUUCGGGUUGUAAAGCCCUUUUGUUGGGAAAGAAAAGCAGCAGGUUAAUACCCCGCUGUUCUGACGGUACCCAAAGAAUAAGCACCGGCUAACUUCGUG
rnacentral:rRNA from 1 species